GGCUAGGAAGGAGUCUGUCCACACAGAAGCCUCUUGGUUAACUCUGGCUAGAGGUGACAGGCCUGAAUGAGAAGAUGUAUAUUUUGAAGGAUAGAGGCUAUUUCUACGUGAACAGCAAUUUGAUGCAAUUGGAGUGGAGCAAUAGAUUCAUGUAGCUGACACUGAGUUCUUGAUAUUUGUUCCCUAUGUGGUUUGUGGCUUUUAGUCAGAGUAAAUUUAGUCUCCUCAAACUAAAUAUUCUCAUCACCUGUGGCUCAACACUGUCCAAAGCACCAAUCUUUGACUCAGAUAUCUGUGUUCCUGUGACAGGCUGGAUGUCAUUAGGUGUGCACGUGGAGUGAAACUUCUGGCUCAGAUUCCUCAGAGAGGAAUGUAGUUAAAGUACACCAAAAACCACGUUGAAGACGAAAGCAAAGCACAAUUUUUCAACUGUACUGGAUCUUUGAAAGCUGGCAGGAUGAAUUGCUUGGUUUCCAGUCUUUAAUGUUUAUGUCCCCUUGGAUCUCACCAUCUGUUCCUGUCUGGCAGUGUAGACAUUAUCAAGAAGGAUUUGGUGGCAUUUACUGAAGCUGAUGAAUCUGACUGAAAUUUCCAAGUUGGAUCGUGUGUUGUGGGGUUUGCUUAAUGAGGAGGAAUCAGGUAUUUUCCUUUUGCUGAGGUUUACAUUGACUACUGCAUCCUCAUGGAGUAUAUGCAGUGACACCCACAAAG